ensembl:lncRNA
UGGCCUCCUGGCUGUAUAGGCUUCUAUGUAAAGGAAAAGGCAGAGUGGUCUUUUUUCAGUUCAUGCUUGGCAGGAAAGAAAUUGUUUUCAACAAGUAACAUUUUUUCAUUUUAUUUAAACAUCUGCAGUAGCUUCUUUGUGCAAAGGAAAAUGAACUCUGUGGACCUUUCACUGGUGCUGCAAGCAGCACCGUAUUCUUUUCAUAGAGCGGUGAGGAAACAGCAUAAAUCCAAGCCAAACCGAUAUGAUGGGACUUCUCUACUUUAACUUCUUAAGAUGACCAGUGAGUCUGCCAGUGCCAAGGGCUGAGGAUGAAGAGGGAAGGCAGGAGGAAGAAGAGAGUGUUCCGGAAACAUGUCACAUAGACUAUCAUUCAUCUCCACGGUCAGGUAGCAAAAUAAUACAAAUUCGUCCCAUCAGAACCCAGAAGAGGAGCCACAAUGCAUUAAAUUCAGAGUACCUACACCACUAAAACACGGCUCUGUAAUGUGUUCCCCGUAUGUUUUAUUGAUAUUGGAGGAGAAUAGUCUUUGCGCUGCCCUGAGGAACCUUCACAAAGCAGAUUAUCUUUUCUUUGGCAUGUACUCUGACUUGGUGCUGCUUUCCAGGAGGGUAUGUGUUUG